rnacentral:rRNA from 1 species
AUAUCGCGAUGAGUUGAUCAUGGCUACAGGAUGAACGCUGGCGGCGUGCUUAACACAUGCAAGUCGAACGGACUUUUAAUGAAGCCUAGCGAAUUAAAGUUAGUGGCGGACGGGUGAGUAACGCGUGGGUAACCUGCCUUAUACGAGGGGGAUAACACUUAGAAAUAGGUGCUAAUACCGCAUAAGCGCACAGUUUCGCAUGAAACAGUGUGAAAAACUCCGGUGGUAUAAGAUGGACCCGCGUCUGAUUAGCUAGUUGGUGAGGUAACGGCCCACCAAGGCGACGAUCAGUAGCCGGCCUGAGAGGGUGACCGGCCACAUUGGGACUGAGACACGGCCCAAACUCCUACGGGAGGCAGCAGUGGGGAAUAUUGCACAAUGGGGGGAAACCCUGAUGCAGCAACGCCGCGUGAGUGAAGAAGUAUUCGGUAUGUAAAGCUCUAUCAGCAGGGAAGAAAAAAGACGGCACCUGACUAAGAAGCACCGGCUAAAUACGUG